UACGUAGGGCGCAAGCGUUAUCCGGAAUUAUUGGGCGUAAAGAGCUCGUAGGCGGUUUGUCGCGUCUGCCGUGAAAGUCCGGGCUCAACUCCGGAUCUGCGGUGGGUACGGCAGACUAGAGUGAUGUAGGGGAGACUGGAAUUCCUGGUGUAGCAGUGAAAUGCGCAGAUAUCAGGAGGAACACCGGUGGCGAAGGCGGGUCUCUGGGCCGAUACUGACGCUGAGGAGCGAAAGCGUGGGGAGCAAACAGG
rnacentral:rRNA from 1 species